rnacentral:sRNA from 1 species
UGCGGCUGGAUCACCUCCUUUCUAAGGAUGAUCCUUCAGAUCAGCUCACGCUAUCUAUCGGAUCGUUUUAGAAACAUUCAGGGGCCAACAGUUUCAGGAUUGUUGAGCUCCAUUGGCGGGAUUUCGCCGUCUUCGUUUCUCUUUCUUCGCGGACGAACACGCGCCAGGGGCUGAGCGCUGUGCGGUGCACCGACUAAGCGUCGCGUGCGCGCCGGCAUGUCUCUCGUGUUAGGGGCUUGUAGCUCAGUUGGUUAGAGCGCGCGCUUGAUAAGCGUGAGGUCGGAAGUUCAAGUCUUCCCAGGCCCACCAUUUUGAUCGAGUGCGGAGCAUUCGUCUUCUGGUACGGGGCCAUAGCUCAGCUGGGAGAGCGCGUGCUUUGCAAGCAUGAGGUCGUCGGUUCGAUCCCGUCUGGCUCCACCAGAUGGUUUGAUCACCAACGGCGUUACCGUCGUCCGCGAAACAUCACUUCGCACUCAUUGGUCCGGAUGGACGGUGACGUGCGUGUUUUCUGACAUCGUAAAGAGGAGAUCGAUCCGAGUUUGGAUCAAGCGAAGCAAUUCGUCUGAACCAUUCAUUAUCUCCGGGAUCAUUUCGGCGCUCGCGCAUCGCAGUUCAUCGCAAGAUGAGUGGGGUGAGCGGGUUGUAAAUGAUCUCUUUUAGCGAAGCUUGACCGCCUCGCUAUCGGGCCGAUCUUACGAAGCAAGCUGGUCUUUCUAGUCAAUGUCCGGCUGCGCAAUCGCAUUCAUCGAGGAUGCGUGCCUGGGACUUCGGUCUUCGGGCAGUUGCGCAGACAACAUUCUGCCGAGUGUGUGGACAUUGAUAAUGAGAGCAAUCAAGUGCCUUAAGGGUGUUCGGUGGAUGCCUUGGCGCUGAGAGGCGAUGAAGGACGUGCUACGCUGCGAUAAGCCGUGGGGAGCUGCGAAGAAGCUUUGAUCCGCGGAUUUCCGAAUGGGGAAACCCACCUUCGAUAGCCGGAACUCCAAGACCUUGUGUGUUGGGGUUCGACCAGAAAUGCGAGAAAUCAAACCGCGAGGUUUUGGAUUUCCGGUUAUCAAGAGAAGGUAUGAGACCUCCGAAUAAAAUAGGAGGUUUUAAGCAAACCCAGGGAACUGAAACAUCUAAGUACCUGGAGGAAAGGACAUCAAUCGAGACUCCGUUAGUAGUGGCGAGCGAACGCGGACCAGGCCAGUGAUACAUCAAAGACAAUCGGAACCUGUCAGGAAAGCAGGGCCUCAGAGGGUGAUAGCCCCGUACGAGUAAUGCGAUGAUGUAUCCACGAGUAAGGCGGGACACGUGUAAUCCUGUCUGAACACGGGGGGACCACCCUCCAAGCCUAAGUACUCCUCAGCGACCGAUAGUGAACCAGUACCGUGAGGGAAAGGUGAAAAGCACCCCGACGAGGGGAGUGAAAUAGACCUGAAACCGGACACCUACAAACAGACGGAGCCCAAGAUGCGUUCUGGGUGACGUCGUACCUUUUGUAUUAUGGGCCAGCGACUUAAUUUAACGAGCAAGCUUAAGCCGAUAGGCGAAGGCGUAGCGAAAGCGAGUCUGAAUAGGGCGUCAAGUUCGUUGUAUUAGACCCGAAACCUAGUGAUCUAGCCAUGAGCAGGUUGAAGGUGAGGUAACACUCACUGGAGGACCGAACGGGUGUCUGUUGAAAAAGACUCCGAUGACUUGUGGUUAGGGGUGAAAGGCCAAUCAAACUGGGAAAUAGCUGGUUCUCCGCGAAAGAUAUUUAGGUAUCGCCUCGGAUGAAUACCUCAGGGGGUAGAGCACUGGAUGGGCUAGGGGGACUUACCGUCUUACCAAACCCAACCAAACUCCGAAUACCUGAGAGUACUAUCCGGGAGUCACACGGCGGGUGCUAACGUCCGUCGUGGAGAGGGAAACAACCCGGACCUACAGCUAAGGCCCCUAAUUCGUGGCUAAGUGGGAAAGGAUGUGGAAAUCCCAAAACAACCAGGAGGUUGGCUUAGAAGCAGCC